UACGUAGGGUGCGAGCGUUAAUCGGAAUUACUGGGCGUAAAGUGUGCGCAGGCGGCCGAGCAAGUCGAGUGUGAAAGCCCCGAGCUUAACUUGGGAACUGCGCUCGAAACUACUUGGCUAGAGUGUGGCAGAGGGAGGUGGAAUUCCACGUGUAGCGGUGAAAUGCGUAGAUAUGCGGAGGAACACCGAUGGCGAAGGCAAUCCCCUGGACCUGUACUGACGCUCAUGCACGAAAGCGUGGGGAGCAAACAGG
rnacentral:rRNA from 1 species